rnacentral:rRNA from 1 species
GACGAACGCUGGCGGCGUGCUUAACACAUGCAAGUCGAACGGAAAGGCCCUGCUUUUGUGGGGUGCUCGAGUGGCGAACGGGUGAGUAACACGUGAGUAACCUGCCCUUGACUUUGGGAUAACUUCAGGAAACUGGGGCUAAUACCGGAUAGGAGCUCCUGCUGCAUGGUGGGGGUUGGAAAGUUUCGGCGGUUGGGGAUGGACUCGCGGCUUAUCAGCUUGUUGGGGGGGUAGUGGCUUACCAAGGCUUUGACGGGUAGCCGGCCUGAGAGGGUGACCGGCCACAUGGGGACUGAGAUACGGCGCAGACUCCUACGGGAGGCAGCAGUGGAGAAUAUUGCACAAUGGGCGGAAGCCUGAUGCAGCAACGCCGCGUGCGGGAUGACGGGCUUCGGGUUGUAAACCGCUUUCGCCUGAAACGAAGCGUGAGUGACGGUAAUGGGUAAAGAAGCACCGGCUAACUACGUG